UACGUAAGGUCCGAGCGUUGUCCGGAAUCAUUGGGCGUAAAGGGUACGUAGGCGGUUUAUAAAGUCAGAUGUUAAAGCGUGAGGCUCAACCUCAUAAAGCAUUUGAAACUUCUAGACUUGAGUAGUGGAGAGGAAAGUGGAAUUCCUAGUGUAGCGGUGAAAUGCGUAGAUAUUAGGAAGAAUACCGGUGGCGAAGGCGACUUUCUGGACACAAACUGACGCUGAGGUACGAAAGCGUGGGUAGCGAACAGG
rnacentral:rRNA from 1 species